CCUAAAAUCAGGUUUCAGUGUAAAGUUUGUAUGAAUACACAAGGCCAGUCUUGACUGAGAUGAUUUUGUUAGGUGUAGAUUUAAAACUAACUUUCCCAAAAGUUGUUUGUAGCAAAUGCUAUUAUUGAACACUUAAAUUAUAAAUACUCUAUUUAAAUUAUACCCUUAUCUGUAUUUCACAUAUUAAACAAAACACUUAGCAAAGUUUUAGAGAGCCAAUUAAUUUUUUAAUAAACUUUUAUUUUAGGAUUCUUUUUAUUUUUAAUUUUGGGCUUCAAAAGUACUCUUAAUUAUUACCACUAUGCUCACUAUCUGGGUGACAGGAACAUUCAUAUGCCAAACCUGAGAAACACAAAAUGUACCCAUGUAACCUGCGUAUGUACCCCUGAACCUCAAAUAAAAGUAAAACAAAGCAAAACAGCUUUGAGCCUUGCCUAUAAGCCCAUUUAUUACUCCUGGUGUUCCAGAAGUGGCAUAAUUUUAAAGAAGAAAACAUGAGAAAUUUAAAAUAAAAUGCUUCCUGGGGCAUAAUGUCAUCCUACUCC
rnacentral:lncRNA from 1 species